rnacentral:rRNA from 1 species
GAUGAACGCUAGCGGCAGGCCUAAUACAUGCAAGUCGGACGGGAUCGGGGAGCUUGCUCCCCGUGAGAGUGGCGCACGGGUGCGUAACACGUAUGUAACCUACCUUUAUCAGGGGGAUAGCCUCUCGAAAGAGAGAUUAACACCGCAUAACAUCACAUGAUAGCAUUAUCGAGUGAUCAAAUAUUCAUAGGAGAAAGAUGGGCAUGCGAGACAUUAGCUAGUGGGCGGGGUAACGGCCCACCAAGGCGACGAUGUCUAGGGGAUCUGAGAGGAUGACCCCCCACACUGGUACUGAGACACGGACCAGACUCCUACGGGAGGCAGCAGUAAGGAAUAUUGGUCAAUGGACGCAAGUCUGAACCAGCCAUGCCGCGUGCAGGAGGACGGCCCUACGGGUUGUAAACUGCUUUUGUACCGGAAUAAACCCUUUUACGUGUAUGAGGCUGAAUGUACGGUAAGAAUAAGGAUCGGCUAACUCCGUGCCAGCCGCCGCGGUAA